rnacentral:rRNA from 1 species
AGCCUACGGGAGGCAGCAGUAGGGAAUUUUCGUCAAUGGGCGCAAGCCUGAACGAGCAAUGCCGCGCGAACGAGGAAGGUCUUCGGAUCGUAAAGUUCUGUUGAAGGGGAAAAAGAGCGGAGAGAGGAAAUGCUUUCUGAUUGAUAUUACCCUUCGAGGAAGUCACGGCUAACUACGUGCCAGCAGCCGCGGUAAUACGUAGGUGGCGAGCGUUAUCCGGAAUGAUUGGGCGUAAAGGGUGCGUAGGCGGCCUGCUAAGUCUGGAGUGAAAGGUACCGGCUCAACCGGUACAGGCUCUGGAAACG